AUGAUGCUGGCCUCAUAAAAUGAGCAUUCACUGGGAUGCAGACGUCAUUGCGAACAUUCCCAACACUAGACUUACUCUAACAUCUCCUAUUGAAUUGGGAGACAUUUCUAAAUUUGAAGAGCUAAAAUUGUAUUCUAACAGAAGAAUAAUUCCAAUGCCUUUGAGCUAUGACAUAUGCCACCCAGGAAUAUUAAACAAAUGGAAUGCAAGCAGAUGAUUUCUCAGAUGGGUGGGAAGGAGGGAGAGAGAGAGACAGAGAAGAGAGAGAGAUUUGAGGAGAAAAGAAGUCCGGCAGCUGGUGACCAGGACUGAGAACUUGUCCCAGGCCACGAGCCUCCCCAUUGAGAAGGCAAGCAGACUCACAGUUUUUUGGCAUCUCAGGGAUGCUGCAGCAGUGACCUAGUUCUUUCAAAGGGUCUGUGGAUUCUCUUGACUUUCCUGAUAUGUUCCUGCAGUAGUUCUGGGAGCCAAAGUUCACAAUGUGAGUCUCCACAUGCUGCUCUGUCUGUCUAAGUGGAAGCUACAAACUAGUCUUGCUUCCUAUCUGCCAUUUUCACUCAAUCACGCCAAGAUGUCUUUAUAACAUAAAGAUGCAAGGAGAAACAGCAAGUGCUAAUGAAGAAGCUGCAGCAGGUUAUCCAGAAGAUUUAAUUAAGAUCAUUGAUGAAGGUGGCUACACUAAACAAGAUUUUCAAUGUAGACGAAAUAGCCUCCUGUUGGAAGAAGAUACCAUCUAAGAUUUUCAUAGCUAUAGUGGAGAAGUCAAUGUUUCAAAACUUCAAGGGAAAGGCUGACUCUCUUGUUAGGGGUUAAUGCUGCUGGUGACUUAAUGUUGAAGCCAGCGCUCACUUACCAUUCUGAAAAUUCUAGGGCCCUUAAGUAUUUGGGUAAAUCGACUCUGCCUGUGCUCUAUAAAUGGAACAGCAAAGCCUGGAUGACAGCACAUCUGAUUGUAGCACGAUUUAUUAAAUAUUUGAAACCCACUGUUGAGACCUACUGCUCAGAAAAAAAGAUUCCUUUAAAAUGUUACUGCUCGUUGACAAUUCAUCUGGUCACCCAAGAGCUCUGAUGGUGAUAUAAAAGCUGAUGAAUGCUGUUUUCAUGCCUGUUUAUGCCUGCUAACAUAACAUUCAUUCCACAGUCAUGGAUCAAAGACUAAUUUCAACUUUCAAGGUCUUAUUACUUAAGGAAUACAUUUCGUAAGGCUACUGCUGUCAUAGAUAGUGAUUUCUCUAAUGUAACUGGGCAAAGUAAAUUGAAAAUCUUCUGGAAAGGGAUUCAUCAUUCUAUUGCC
rnacentral:lncRNA from 1 species